AAGGAUCAUUACCGAGUUAGGGUCUCUCACGGCCCGACCUCCCAACCCCUUGUUUAAUCAUACCAUUUGUUGCUUCGGCGGGGCGGUCUCCCCAGACCGCCGGAGGGUGCACACCGCCCCUCUGGAGAGUUUUGCCCGCCGAUGGCCCCCCUUCAAAAAAAUCUUGAACCCAACCGUGACGCCUAAAUUGAUUAUUGUAUAAUGUACAAAAAUAAAACUUUCAACAACGGAUCUCUUGGUUCUGGCAUCGAUGAAGAACGCAGCGGAAUGCGAUAAGUAAUGCGAAUUGCAGAAUUUCCGUGAGUCAUCGAAUCUUUGAACGCACAUUGCGCCCUUUGGUAUUCCGAAGGGCAUGCCUGUUCGAGCGUCAUUAUCCCCCCUCAAACCUCGGGUUUGGUGUUGGACCGACGUUGGUCGUCACCCCGACCAACUGGUCUCAAAGACAAUGACGGCGUCCGUGGGACCCUCGAUACACCGAGCUUUCUUUUCGAAGCACGUACCGAGUUGCAAGGACCCACGCCCGCCGGUCGCUCUCCCCUUUUCGGAGAAAACGCGAGUUUUUUUCACAAGGUUGACCUCGGAUCAGGUAGGAAUACCCGCUGAACUUAA
rnacentral:rRNA from 1 species